rnacentral:rRNA from 1 species
UUCGGGGGUACUCGAGUGGCGAACGGGUGAGUAACACGUGGGUGAUCUGCCCUGCACUCUGGGAUAAGCCUGGGAAACUGGGUCUAAUACCGGAUAGGACCUCGGGAUGCAUGUCUCGUGGUGGAAAGCUUUUGCGGUGUGGGAUGGGCCCGCGGCCUAUCAGCUUGUUGGUGGGGUGAUGGCCUACCAAGGCGACGACGGGUAGCCGGCCUGAGAGGGUGACCGGCCACACUGGGACUGAGAUACGGCCCAGACUCCUACGGGAGGCAGCAGUGGGGAAUAUUGCACAAUGGGCGCAAGCCUGAUGCAGCGACGCCGCGUGGGGGAUGACGGCCUUCGGGUUGUAAACCUCUUUCAGUAUCGGCGAAGCUCCGAGGUUUUCUUCGGGGUGACGGUAGGUACAGAAGAAGCACCGGCCAACUACGUGCCAGCAGCCGCGGUAAUACGUAGGGUGCGAGCGUUGUCCGGAAUUACUGGGCGUAAAGAGCUCGUAGGUGGUUUGUCGCGUCGUCCGUGAAAACUCACAGCUUAACUGUGGGCGUGCGGGCGAUACGGGCAGACUUGAGUACUGUAGGGGAGACUGGAAUUCCUGGUGUAGCGGUGGAAUGCGCAGAUAUCAGGAGGAACACCGGUGGCGAAGGCGGGUCUCUGGGCAGUAACUGACGCUGAGGAGCGAAAGCGUGGGGAGCGAACAGGAUUAGAUACCCUGGUAGUCCACGCCGUAAACGGUGGGUACUAGGUGUGGGUUUCCUUCCUUUAGGGAUCCGUGCCGUAGCUAACGCAUUAAGUACCCCGCCUGGGGAGUACGGCCGCAAGGCUAAAACUCAAAGGAAUUGACGGGGGCCCGCACAAGCGGCGGAGCAUGUGGAUUAAUUCGAUGCAACGCGAAGAACCUUACCUGGGUUUGACAUGCACAGGACGACUGCCAAGAUGUGGUUUCCCUUGUGGCCUGUGUGCAGGUGGUGCAUGGCUGUCGUCAGCUCGUGUCGUGAGAUGUU